AUCUGCAGCCAUAUCACCCUGAACGCGCCCGAUCUCUUUGGAUCUUAGAAGCAAAGCAGGGUUGGGCCUGGUUAGUACUUGGAUGGGGGAAGAAAUUGAAGUAGGGGAAGAGA
rnacentral:rRNA from 1 species